rnacentral:rRNA from 1 species
AGCGAACGCUGGCGGCAGGCUUAACACAUGCAAGUCGAGCGGGCGUAGCAAUACGUCAGCGGCAGACGGGAGAGUAACACGUGGGAACGCGCCCUUCGGUUCGGAAUAACUCAGGGAAACUUGAGCUAAUACCGGAUACGCCCUAACGGGGAAAGAUUUAUCGCCGAAGGAACGGCCCGCGUCGGAUUAGCUAGUUGGUGAGGUAAUGGCUCACCAAGGCGACGAUCCGUAGCUGGUCUGAGAGGAUGGCCAGCCUCACUGGGACUGAGACACGGCCCAGACUCCUACGGGAGGCAGCAGUGGGGAAUAUUGGACAAUGGGCGCAAGCCUGAUCCAGCCAUGCCGCGUGGAUGAUGAAGGCCUUAGGGUUGUAAAGUCCUUUUAACGGGGAAGAUAAUGACGGUACCCGUAGAAUAAGCCCCGGCUAACUUCGUGCCAGCAGCCGCCGUAA